AUUGAACGCUGGCGGCAGGCCUAACACAUGCAAGUCGAGCGAGCGGCGGACGGGUGAGUAAUGUAUGGGGACUGCCCGAUAGAGGGGGAUAACUACUGGAAACGGUGGCUAAUACCGCAUAAUAUCGGAUAACCAAUAUGGGAUUAGCUAGUAGGUGGGGUAAAGGCUAACCUAGGCGAGGCUCUCUAGCUGGUCUGAGAGGAUGAUCAUCCACACGGGGACUUGGACACGGCCCAGACUCCUACGGAGGCAGCAGUGGGGAAUAUUGCACAAGGGGCGCAAUCCUGCUGCAGCCAUGCCGCGUGUAUGAAGAAGGCCUUAGGGUUGUAAAGUACUUUCAGCGGGGAGGCGUUACCCGCAGAAGAAGCACCGGCUAACUCCGUGCCAGCAGCCGCGGUAAUAC
rnacentral:rRNA from 1 species